rnacentral:rRNA from 1 species
UACGGAGGGUGCAAGCGUUAAUCGGAAUGACUGGGCGUAAAGGGUGCGUAGGCGGUUUAGUAAGUUGAGUGUGAAAGCCCCGGGCUUAACCUGGGUAGGUCAUUCAAUACUGCUAAACUGGAGUACAAGAGAGGGUAGUGGAAUUUCCGGUGUAGCGGUGAAAUGCGUAGAGAUCGGAAGGAACACCAGUGGCGAAGGCGGCUACCUGGCUUGAUACUGACGCUGAGGCACGAAAGCAUGGGGAGCAAACAGG